GAUGAACGCUGGCGGCGUGCCUAAUACAUGCAAGUCGAGCGAACGGACGAGAAGCUUGCUUUUCUGAUGUUAGCGGCGGACGGGUGAGUAACACGUGGAUAACCUACCUAUAAGACUGGGAUAACUUCGGGAAACCGGAGCUAAUACCGGAUAAUAUUUUGAACCGCAUGGUUCAAAAGUGAAAGACGGUCUUGCUGUCACUUAUAGAUGGAUCCGCGCUGCAUUAGCUAGUUGGUAAGGUAACGGCUUACCAAGGCAACGAUGCAUAGCCGACCUGAGAGGGUGAUCGGCCACACUGGAACUGAGACACGGUCCAGACUCCUACGGGAGGCAGCAGUAGGGAUUCUUCCGCAAUGGGCGAAAGCCUGACGGAGCAACGCCGCGUGAGUGAUGAAGGUCUUCGGAUCGUAAAACUCUGUUAUUAGGGAAGAACAUAUGUGUAAGUAACUGUGCACAUCUUGACGGUACCUAAUCAGAAAGCCACGGCUAACUACGUG
rnacentral:rRNA from 1 species